CAUUCCAGCCACCCUGAAGCCAACUCUGCACACUCCCUGGAUUUCAACAAGCAUGAAGAAAACUACUGUGAUGUUCUAUGCUUGGUCUCAGAUAAAGAAAACAUGGCUAUGUAUGAUGAGAGAUCAUGGACUGUACCACCAUCUGUAUGAGGUGUUUGACUGUGUGGAUCCUGAGAUCAUGUGGGCUGCAUUUGGACUUCAGAGUAAGACUAAAGAUUACUAUUUUCUUCUCAUGGUAAUGCCC